GACGAACGCUGGCGGCGUGCCUAAUACAUGCAAGUCGAGCGAAGUUUUUCUGGUGCUUGCACUAGAAAAACUUAGCGGCGAACGGGUGAGUAACACGUAAAGAACCUGCCUCAUAGACUGGGACAACUAUUGGAAACGAUAGCUAAUACCGGAUAACAGCAUUAACUGCAUGGUUGAUGUUUAAAAGUUGGUUAUGCUAACACUAUGAGAUGGCUUUGCGGUGCAUUAGCUAGUUGGUGGGGUAAAGGCCUACCAAGGCGACGAUGCAUAGCCGACCUGAGAGGGUGAUCGGCCACACUGGGACUGAGACACGGCCCAGACUCCUACGGGAGGCAGCAGUAGGGAAUCUUCCGCAAUGGGCGAAAGCCUGACGGAGCAACGCCGCGUGAGUGAAGAAGGAUUUCGGUUCGUAAAGCUCUGUUGUUAGGGAAGAAUGAUUGUAUAGUAACUAUAUACAGUAGAGACGGUACCUAACCAGAAAGCCACGGCUAACUACGUGCCAGCAGCCGCGGUAAUACGUAGGUGGCAAGCGUUGUCCGGAAUUAUUGGGCGUAAAGCGCGCGCAGGUGGUUUAAUAAGUCUGAUGUGAAAGCCCACGGCUCAACCGUGGAGGGUCAUUGGAAACUGUUAAACUUGAGUGCAGGAGAGAAAAGUGGAAUUCCUAGUGUAGCGGUGAAAUGCGUAGAGAUUAGGAGGAACACCAGUGGCGAAGGCGGCUUUUUGGCCUGUAACUGACACUGAGGCGCGAAAGCGUGGGGAGCAAACAGG
rnacentral:rRNA from 1 species